rnacentral:rRNA from 1 species
GACGAACGCUGGCGGCGUGCUUAACACAUGCCAGUCGAACGGAAAGGCCCUGCUUUUGUGGGGUGCUCGAGUGGCGAACGGGUGAGUAACACGUGAGUAACCUGCCCUUGACUUUGGGAUAACUUCAGGAAACUGGGGCUAAUACCGGAUAGGAGCUCCUGCUGCAUGGUGGGGGUUGGAAAGUUUCGGCGGUUGGGGAUGGACUCGCGGCUUAUCAGCUUGUUGGUGGGGUAGUGGCUUACCAAGGCUUUGACGGGUAGCCGGCCUGAGAGGGUGACCGGCCACAAUGGGACUGAGAUACGGCCCAGACUCCUACGGGAGGCAGCAGUGGGGAAUAUUGCACAAUGGGCGGAAGCCUGAUGCAGCAACGCCGCGUGCGGGAUGACGGCCUGCGGGUUGUAAACCGCUUUCGCCUGUGACGAAGCGUGAGUGACGGUAAUGGGUAAAGAAGCACCGGCUAACUACGUG